CUAUAAUGCAGUCGAGCGGACCAGGUUCGGGAGCUUGCUCUGGUUUGGUCAGCGGCGGACGGGUGAGUAACACGUGGGCAACCUGCCCGCAAGACCGGGAUAACUCCGGGAAACCGGAGCUAAUACCGGAUAACACCGAAGACCGCAUGGUCUUUGGUUGAAAGGCGGCCUUUGGCUGUCACUUGCGGAUGGGCCCGCGGCGCAUUAGCUAGUUGGUGAGGUAACGGCUCACCAAGGCGACGAUGCGUAGCCGGCCUGAGAGGGUGACCGGCCACACUGGGACUGAGACACGGCCCAGACUCCUACGGGAGGCAGCAGUAGGGAAUCUUCCGCAAUGGGCGAAAGCCUGACGGAGCGACGCCGCGUGAGCGAAGAAGGCCUUCGGGUCGUAAAGCUCUGUUGUGAGGGACGAAGGAGCGCCGUUCGAAGAGGGCGGCGCGGUGACGGUACCUCACGAGGAAGCCCCGGCUAACUACGUGCCAGCAGCCGCGGUAAUACGUAGGGGGCGAGCGUUGUCCGGAAUUAUUGGGCGUAAAGCGCGCGCAGGCGGUUCCUUAAGUCUGAUGUGAAAGCCCACGGCUCAACCGUGGAGGGUCAUUGGAAACUGGGGGACUUGAGUGCAGGAGAGGAGAGCGGAAUUCCACGUGUAGCGGUGAAAUGCGUAGAGAUGUGGAGGAACACCAGUGGCGAAGGCGGCUCUCUGGCCUGCAACUGACGCUGAGGCGCGAAAGCGUGGGGAGCAAACAGGAUUAGAUACCUGGGGUAGUCC
rnacentral:rRNA from 1 species